ACUCCUACGGGAGGCAGCAGUGGGGAAUAUUGCACAAUGGGCGCAAGCCUGAUGCAGCCAUGCCGCGUGUGUGAAGAAGGCCUUCGGGUUGUAAAGCACUUUCAGUCGUGAGGAAGGUAGUGUAGUUAAUAGCUGCAUUAUUUGUACGUUAGCGACAGAAGAAGCACCGGCUAACUCCGUGCCAGCAGCCGCGGUAAUACGGAGGGUGCGAGCGUUAAUCGGAAUUACUGGGCGUAAAGCGCAUGCAGGUGGUUUGUUAAGUCAGAUGUGAAAGCCCGGGGUCUCAACCUCGGAAUAGCAUUUGAAACUGGCAGACGUAGAGUACUGUAGAGGGGGUAGAAUUUCAGGUGUAGCGGUGAAAUGCGUAGAGAUCUGAAGGAAUACCGGUGGCGAAAGGCGGCCCCUGGACAGAUACUGACACUCAGAUGCGAAAGCGUGGGAGCAAACGAGGAUUAG
rnacentral:rRNA from 1 species